rnacentral:rRNA from 1 species
GAGUUUGAUCGUGGCUCAGAUUGAACGCUGGCGGCAGGCCUAACACAUGCAAGUCGAGCGGUAGAGAGAAGCUUGCUUCUCUUGAGAGCGGCGGACGGGUGAGUAAUGCCUAGGAAUCUGCCUGGUAGUGGGGGAUAACGCUCGGAAACGGACGCUAAUACCGCAUACGUCCUACGGGAGAAAGCAGGGGACCUUCGGGCCUUGCGCUAUCAGAUGAGCCUAGGUCGGAUUAGCUAGUUGGUGAGGUAAUGGCUCACCAAGGCGACGAUCCGUAACUGGUCUGAGAGGAUGAUCAGUCACACUGGAACUGAGACACGGUCCAGACUCCUACGGGAGGCAGCAGUGGGGAAUAUUGGACAAUGGGCGAAAGCCUGAUCCAGCCAUCGCCGCGUGUGU